rnacentral:sRNA from 1 species
UUGUGCUUUUCACGUAGGGGACUUUUGAAGAAUGUUUUUGAAUUGUUGUAUGCGUUUUCCCGUCCAAUUCAAUAACUUAAGGAAAACUUGAAGAUUAAAAAAGUGCUGUUCACGGUUAAUCUGGAGUAUUGAGAUUCACAAUUUAUUGAAAGAACAACUGAAAAUCAAUUUAGGUUGCAUAUGUGUCAUGUGUGGAGAAGAACCCUCUAGCUAGUCCGUCAUUUAUCAUUUUACCUUAAUUUUAUGUUUUUAUCAAUUCUGUAAUUUAAUUAAGUUUAAUUUACUUUUCAUCAAAACCAAACACCCAUCCAUUAUUAAAUUAUAUUAUUUAGUUAGUUUUCUUUAUUGUUAGUCUUUUAAUUUAAUUUCCGUCCAUUUCAGUUCCUAGUGUUUAAAUUUAAUUGUUUUCAUUAUUUUGAGUCAUUUUAAGUUCAAAUGGAGCCGAGGGAAAUUUAAAGGAAAGAUGCUCAUUUUAAGUGUGUUUCGAGUUAUUAGAGUUUUUAGCCUAAUUUUGUGUCCUUGAGUCUUAUUUAAUAUUUUUAAAUUAAUUUAGAAUAGAUUAGCAAUCCCUCCUAAUCCCCGGCCUAGAACGAUACCCUACUUACAUCUAUACUACAAUUGUCAAAAAGAGGGUUUAAUUUGUGUGUCAAGUAAUUUUCGCAUC